rnacentral:misc_RNA from 1 species
UGUAGGAGCGGGCUUGCUCGCGAUGAAAUCGCUGCGGUGUGUCUGAUGGACCGGGUUGUUUGAAUCGCGAGCAAGCCCGCUCCCACA